rnacentral:rRNA from 1 species
GACGAACGCUGGCGGCGUGCCUAAUACAUGCAAGUAGGACGCAGUUGCGAACGGGUGAGUAACGCGUAGGUAACUUCCUAUUAGAGGGGGAUAAUUAUUGGAAACGAUAGUUAAUACCGCCUACUAGUAGAUUGACCUGCGUUGUUUUAGCUAGUAGGUAGGGUAAUGGCCUACCUAGGCGACGCUACAUAGCCGAACUGAGAGGGUGAUGGGCGGCACUGAGACUGAGACACGGCCCAGACUCAUACGGGAGGCAGCAGUAGGGAAUCUUCGGAAAGGGGGGGAACCCUGACCGAGAAACGCCGAGUGAGUGAAGAAGGUUUUCGGAUCGUAAAGCUUUGUUGUUAAGGAAGCGGUACUUAACCAGAAAGGGACGGCUAACUACGUGCCAGCAGCCGCGGUAAUUC